GGUUCCAUGGUGUAAUGGUUAGCACGCUGGACAAGUUCAAAUCCGAGUUCAAAUCUCGGUGGAGAUUA